rnacentral:rRNA from 1 species
AGAGUUUGAUCCUGGCUCAGGACGAACGCUGGCGGCGUGCUUAACACAUGCAAGUCGAACGGUGAAGGAGGAGCUUGCUCCUCUGGAUCAGUGGCGAACGGGUGAGUAACACGUGAGCAAUCUGCCCCUGACUCUGGGAUAAGCGUUGGAAACGACGUCUAAUACCGGAUACGAAGCGCGAAGGCAUCUUCAGCGCUUGGAAAGAAUUUCGGUCAGGGAUGAGCUCGCGGCCUAUCAGUUAGUUGGUGAGGUAAUGGCUCACCAAGACGACGACGGGUAGCCGGCCUGAGAGGGUGACCGGCCACACUGGGACUGAGACACGGCCCAGACUCCUACGGGAGGCAGCAGUGGGGAAUAUUGCACAAUGGGCGCAAGCCUGAUGCAGCAACGCCGCGUGAGGGAUGACGGCCUUCGGGUUGUAAACCUCUUUUAGCAGGGAAGAAGCGAAAGUGACGGUACCUGCAGAAAAAGCACCGGCUAACUACGUGCCAGCAGCCGCGGUAAUACGUAGGGUGCAAGCGUUGUCCGGAAUUAUUGGGCGUAAAGAGCUCGUAGGCGGUUUGUCGCGUCUGCUGUGAAAACCCGAGGCUCAACCUCGGGCCUGCAGUGGGUACGGGCAAACUAGAGUGCGGUAGGGGAGAUUGGAAUUCCUGGUGUAGCGGUGGAAUGCGCAGAUAUCAGGAGGAACACCGAUGGCGAAGGCAGAUCUCUGGGCCGUAACUGACGCUGAGGAGCGAAAGCAUGGGGAGCGAACAGGAUUAGAUACCCUAGUAGUCC